CUGGUUUCCUUUAAACAGUGUAGGUCUGCUGUGUUGUAUAAAAUGUCUAGGACUAGUUUUCAUCAUAUUUGAUCCUCCACAUUGCUGUGUUCAGUUUAAACGGCUGGACAAAAAACAUGACGGUAAAACUUGUUGGGAUUGUUUUUUCCUUCGGCAAAGUAGCGUACUACUUUAUCAUGCGUAGGAAUCUACGCCUAUUACUUAAGCAUCUCUCCUUCCUCCCAAAGUGUACACUUGUUCACCUCCACUUACUUGAAGGUCAGAUUAUUCAUUAUAUGAAAAAAAGAUACAUAUUUGCGACUGUAUCUAACGAUGUUCAACUCAGUAUGCUUAUCAAACUCAAUUCCUGUACCCCUUUCUCCCUCAUACAGUAUCAGUCUCUCUCUUUCCCGAUCAUACUUCCCACACUGUAUCAGUACAUUCUCCACUGUCUCUGUUUCCUGGCAGUAAUCACAUCUUCCUGUUGAAUGAUUUCCUAUCACAUUUAAUAACUUAUUCAGCUGGCUGUGUCCUACUCUUAGCCUUGUAAGGAUAGCCUCCUCUCUUCUGUCCAUUCCUACCAUCCUCCCCUACUUUACUCUGUACCUGGAAUAGGGGCAGCAGGUAACCUAGCAGUUUAUAGCGUUGGGCCAGUAACCCGAGCCGACUAGGUGAAAAAUCUGUCUGUGCCUCUGAGCAACUUAACUCUAAAUGUUUGUGUAAGUCGCUCUGAUAAGAGUUUCUGCUAAAUGACUAAAAUGUAAACAAUGAAUAGAUGGCUGCCCUUAUUGUCACUGUUCCACUGCUCCUGCCAUCUCUGCACCACCACUGCCCAUAUCAUUCCCUUAGCCUCUGCUUUUCUCAUUGGCACCUCCACCUCCUGUCUCCUAAGGGUCUGUUUAGCUAGUACAUCUACUUCCUCAUUCCCUUCCACCCCCACAUGGGCCGGGACCCAAGCAAAGCUUAUAUGGACAUCCAUCACCCGGGCAUAGAGCAGGCCUUGUCUGCUAUGUGAGCUAAAUGACUGCAGACUCAUCAACACAGCACACGAGUCAGAACAUAUAGCUACUCUGUCUGGCUUGACUUCCUCCACCCACUGCAAGGCCAACAGUACGACCAUCAGCUCUGCCAUGUACAUAGCCAGGUGGUCUGUGAUACGUCUCCUGACAGCCAUCCCACUUUCCUGUUCAACAAAGGCUGAUCCAGUCUGACCUGUCCUUGGGUCUUUUGAUCCAUCUGUAUAUAUGGGACAAAGCUAGCACGUUCCCCUCCACCCUCCCGGAGUCCCCGGGUCAAACGCCUCCUGGUACCGCUUUACUGCUGGUUCUGGUCGACUGCAGGAAAGCACCGGGGCAGAGUGGAACUGAGAGAGGAGGAGGAGAAGAGAAGGAAGAUGGAGAUUUGAUUUCAUUAAGUAAGAACCAUGUUGUGUCGAUUAGACUACAGUCUGCUUCUGAAACGAUAGCGGAGGUGCAUAAAGAUGGCGGCCCGCAGGUACUUACCACAACUUCCUGGUUUUCCUACGUUCACUGUUUUUCACAUUGCUCGCUUUCUCUUUUUUUUUUUGGUAUGGUCAUUAGCACAGUAAACAUGAUCUCAAUUUUAGUUUCAAGACGCUGGCAAUUUGAAAACUCGUCAAAGUAGAUUGUGUUGAUUUAUUGGAACAUUGAACAAUGUCGAGCACCGUAGUUUCAAAACGGGAUAGUUCUAAAACAAUGACGUCAUAUCAGAAUUCUGCCAUCUUUAUGCGCUUUAGUCAUUAAUUGAUUCGUGAUAUAGUGAUGAAAAUAUCUGGGUAGUUCCGCCCAUUUUUAAAAGUGUAA